rnacentral:rRNA from 1 species
AUUGAACGCUGGCGGAAUGCUUUACACAUGCAAGUCGAACGGCAGCACGGGGCAACCUGGUGGCGAGUGGCGAACGGGUGAGUAAUACAUCGGAACGUGCCCAAUCGUGGGGGAUAACGUAGCGAAAGUUACGCUAAUACCGCAUACGAUCUACGGAUGAAAGCGGGGGAUCGCAAGACCUCGCGCGAAUGGAGCGGCCGAUGUCAGAUUAGGUAGUUGGUGGGGUAAAGGCUCACCAAGCCAACGAUCUGUAGCUGGUCUGAGAGGACGACCAGCCACACUGGAACUGAGACACGGUCCAGACUCCUACGGGAGGCAGCAGUGGGGAAUUUUGGACAAUGGGCGCAAGCCUGAUCCAGCCAUUCCGCGUGCAGGAUGAAGGCCUCGGUGUAAGACUCUUUCAUCCGGAAGAAACGACACGGGUUAAUAACCUAGUAGUGGAUGACGGUACCGGAAGAAGAAG